rnacentral:rRNA from 1 species
UACGGAGGGUGCAAGCGUUGUUCGGAUUGAUUGGGCGUAAAGCGCUCGUAGGCGGGUUCAUAAGUCGAAUGUGAAAGCCCCGGGCUUAACCUGGGAAUUGCAUCCGAAACUGUGAAUCUUGAAUGCUCGAGGGGUUGGUGGAAUUCUUGGUGUAGGAGUGAAAUCCGUAGAUAUCAAGAGGAAUAUCGGAGGCGAAGGCGGCCGACUGGCGAUGCAUUGACGCUGAGGAGACGAAAGCGUGGGGAGCAAACAGG